ACAGGGAACCGACCCCAGACAGUGAUACUUUGCUACCCAUUGCCAGGCAGCCUUCAUCCAGGUUCAACCAUUAAGAAGCACCGGAGAGAUAUUGGGAAUAGGGGAAAACAGAGAAGCUGGAAAAGAUCUAUGAGGACAGAAAACCAAUAGCAGUUUCCUAAGUUUGGGUUCAAAAUGGCUGGAUCAAGUUUUACUACGUAGUCUCAGCCCAAGAAGACACAAGAGUUCUGUCUCUACAUUCUAAGUAAAGUUAAAACGCAAAGCAUAUUUGAUAUUCUGAAGAGCUCCAUGAAUUCACAGUUAAUUACAGAGUAGCUUCGGCUUCUCAAUAUAUGGUCCUGUUCUGAGGGUUCCAGGCUUCAUUUACUACAGUGUGAGCUCUAUGGCAACAGAGUGCUUACCUGUGUUGUUCAGUAUCACAACCCAUGCCAAGAACAAAACCUAGCACAAAUGUUCAGCAACUGUUUGUAAAAUUUCUCCAGAUGGCUCAGGUCUGUACUUUGUGUAUAACCUUUCUUUGGUAAACAUUU